rnacentral:lncRNA from 1 species
CUCAGGGACUGGUAAAUUCAAUUGCAUAACUUCCAGCUCAGUAAUUUUAAUUUUUUAGACCUUGCUACAAGCCUCAUACUUUGCCUUCCAGCAAGCUCGGGGACUACAUCGGUACGAUGCAUCUAGCGAUGCAUGUUAGUAUCAGAAAUUAUAAGAUAAUUUUCUUUUUAGACCCUUGCACCACGUGCCUACGUCACCAACUACCAGGC